UACGGGGGGGGCAAGCGUUAAUCGGAAUUACUGGGCGUAAAGCGUGCGCAGGCGGUUUCGUAAGUCUGUCGUGAAAUCCCCGGGCUCAACCUGGGAACUGCAUUUGUGACUGCAUAGCUAGAGUACGGCAGAGGGGGAUGGAAUUCCGCGUGUAGCAGUGAAAUGCGUAGAUAUGCGGAGGAACACCGAUGGCGAAGGCAAUCCCCUGGGCCUGUACUGACGCUCAUGCACGAAAGCGUGGGGAGCAAACAGG
rnacentral:rRNA from 1 species